AUUGAACGCUGGCGGCAUGCCUAACACUUGCAAGUCGAACGGAAGAAGGGGGGCUGGCACCGGUGGGCGAGUGGCGAACGGGGGGGAAUUAAAUCGGAACAGUUCCUUUGGGGGGGGAAAGCCCGCCGAAAGCCGGAUUAAUACCCCAUACGAUCUACGGAGGAAAGCGGGGGCCCUUCGGGCCUCGCGCUAUGGGGUUGGCCGAUGGCUGAUUAGCUAGUUGGGGGGGUAAAGGCCUACCAAGGCGACGAUCAGUAGCUGGUCUGAGAGGACGACCAGCCACACUGGGACUGAGACACGGCCCAGACUCCUACGGGAGGCAGCAGUGGGGAAUUUUGGACAAUGGGCGAAAGCCUGAUCCAGCAAUGCCGCGUGUGUGAAGAAGGCCUUCGGGUUGUAAAGCACUUUUGUCCGGAAAGAAAUCCUUGGCCCUAAUACGGUCGGGGGAUGACGGUACCGGAAGAAUAAGCACCGGCUAACUACGUG
rnacentral:rRNA from 1 species